AACGAACGCUGGCGGCAGGCUUAACACAUGCAAGUCGAGCGCCCCGCAAGGGGAGCGGCAGACGGGUGAGUAACGCGUGGGAAUCUACCCAACCCUACGGAACAACAGUUGGAAACGACUGCUAAUACCGUAUACGCCCUUAGGGGGAAAGAUUUAUCGGGGAUGGAUGAGCCCGCGUUGGAUUAGCUAGUUGGUGGGGUAAAGGCCUACCAAGGCGACGAUCCAUAGCUGGUCUGAGAGGAUGAUCAGCCACAUUGGGACUGAGACACGGCCCAAACUCCUACGGGAGGCAGCAGUGGGGAAUAUUGGACAAUGGGCGCAAGCCUGAUCCAGCCAUGCCGCGUGAGUGAUGAAGGUCUUAGGAUUGUAAAGCUCUUUCACCGGUGAAGAUAAUGACGGUAACCGGAGAAGAAGCCCCGGCUAACUUCGUGCCAGCAGCCGCAGUAA
rnacentral:rRNA from 1 species